GAUUUGGUCGGGUGGUCCGCUUAACGGCGUGUUACUGCUUGGCCGGGUCUUGUCUCUUGGUGAACCGUAGUGCCCUUUGUUGGGUGCUGCGGGGAACCAGGACUUUUACCUUGAGAAAAUUAGAGUGUUCAAAGCAGGCUAAUGCCUGAAUACAUUAGCAUGGAAUAAUAAAAUAGGACGUGCGGUUCUAUUUUGUUGGUUUCUAGAGUCGCCGUA
rnacentral:rRNA from 1 species